GCCAGCCACUUCGUUCAUGAACCCAGGCACAUGGCGUGCGCGAAAAACUACAUUUAGCGACAUGCACAUUAAAACGAAGCGCCGCAGCAACCUGACCACGUGCUUCGAAGCCGCCGAUUGAUUAUUCACUGCAUGCACCACGGCCAUGUUGUCCGAGAAAAAGACCACCUUUCGGUCCUGCAGCCCUUCCCCCCACAGAGCCAUCACCACGACUAGCAGGAACAGUUCCAAGAAAGCCAGGUUAUGCAUGAGGGGGCUCGGUCCCCACUCCUCCGGCCACCGCUCCGCACACCAUCUACCCCCGAAGAAGGCCCCGAAGCCUAUGCUACCUGACGCGUCGGUGAACAGCUACAGUUCUGCCACCGACACGCCUUCCUGCAAAAAGAACACCGUCCCAUUGAAAUCCCGCAGGAAGGCAUCCCAUAUGGCCAAGUUGGCUCUCAUGGCUGACGAUACC